rnacentral:rRNA from 1 species
CCUACGGGAGGCAGCAGUGGGGAAUAUUGGGCAAUGGGCGAAAGCCUGACCCAGCAACGCCGCGUGAAGGAAGAAGGCUUUCGGGUUGUAAACUUCUUUUGACAGGGAAGAGCAGAAGACGGUACCUGUCGAAUAAGCCACGGCUAACUACGUGCCAGCAGCCGCCGUAAUACGUAGGUGGCAAGCGUUGUCCGGAUUUACUGGGUGUAAAGGGCGUGUAGCCGGGCUGACAAGUCCGAUGUGAAAUACGGGGGCUCAACCCCCGAACUGCAUUUGAAACUGUUGGGCUGGAGUGUCGGAGAGGCAGGCGGAAUUCCUAGUGUAGCGGUGAAAUGCGUAGAUAUUAGGAGGAACACCAGUGGCGAAGGCGGCCUGCUGGACGGCAACUGACGGUGAGGCGCGAAAGCGUGGGGAGCAAACAGGAUUAGAUACCCCAGUAGUC